rnacentral:rRNA from 1 species
UACGUAGGUGACAAGCGUUGUCCGGAUUUACUGGGCGUAAAGCGUGCGCAGGCGGUUUGCUAAGACAGGUGUGAAAUCCCCGGGCUUAACCUGGGAACUGCGCUUGUAACUGGCAAGCUAGAGUGUGGCAGAGGGGGGUGGAAUUCCACGUGUAGCAGUGAAAUGCGUAGAGAUGUGGAGGAACACCGAUGGCGAAGGCAGCCCCCUGGGCUAACACUGACGCUCAUGCACGAAAGCGUGGGGAGCAAACAGG